CGACCCGGACUAUGGCGGGGAGUGGCAGACUGCUCAGUAACACGUAGCUAACCUACCCUCGGGACGGGGAUAACUCCGGGAAACUGGGGCUAAUACCCGAUAGGUAUGGAUUCCUGGAAUGGUGCCAUGCCUAAAUGUAAGCACAUCCAUGUUUGUGUGCACGCCCGAGGAUGGGGCUGCGGCCGAUCAGGCAGUUGGUGAGGUAACGGCUCACCAAACCUUUGACCGGUACGGGCCAUGAGAGUGGUAGCCCGGAGAUGGGCACUGAGACAAGGGCCCAGGCCCUACGGGGCGCAGCAGGCGCGAAACCUCCACAAUUCACGCAAGUGAGAUGGGGUUACCUCGAGUGCCGUCUGAAGAAGGCGGCUUUUCCAUGGUGUAACAAGCCGUGGGAAUAAGGGGGGGGCAAGACUGGUGUCAGCCGCCGCGGUAACACCAGCCCCCCGAGUGGUGGGGAUGAUUAUUUGGCCUAAAGCGUCCGUAGCCGGCUUUGUAAAUCUCUCGUUAAAUCCAGCGUCCUAAGCGUUGGGCUGCGAUAGAAACUGCAGAGCUAGAGGGUGGGAGAGGUCAGCGGUAUUCCUGGGGUAGGGGCGAAAUCCAUUGAUCCCAGGAGGACCACC
rnacentral:rRNA from 1 species